rnacentral:rRNA from 1 species
UAUUAUUUUAAAUGUGAAAAUUUAAGCUGGGGUAGUAGUAGAUAUUUUCUUGAAACUCAAAGAAUUUGGCGGUAUUUUAGUCUUUUCAGAGGAACCUGUUUCUUUAUCGAUAUACCACGUUUUAUCUGGCUUGAUUUUGUUUUCAGCUUGUAUACCGCCGUUAUCAGAAUGUUUUUUUAGAAUUUAAAUUUUCGAUGCUUUUUAUUGAAGGUGAUUUCAGGUCAAGGUGCAGCUUAUAAUUAAGUGAAAAUGGGUUACAAUAAAUAUAUUUAUACGGAUAAUCUUAUGAAGCAUGAGAUUUGAAGGUGGAUUUGAUAGUAAUGUGAUGUAUAAUAUUAAUUUGAUUUUAGCU